CGGAGGGUGCGAGCGUUGUCCGGAAUCACUGGGCGUAAAGGGCGCGUAGGCGGCCUGAUAAGUAGGGGUGAAAUCCUGCGGCUUAACCGCAGGGCUGCCUUCUAAACUGUCAGGCUUGAGCACAGUAGAGGCAGGUGGAAUUCCCGGUGUAGCGGUGGAAUGCGUAGAGAUCGGGAAGAACAUCGGUGGCGAAGGCGGCCUGCUGGGCUGUUGCUGACGCUGAGGCGCGACAGCGUGGGGAGCAAACAGGAUUAGAUACCCUGGUAGUCCACGCCGUAAACGAUGGACACUAGGCGUCGGGGGGAGCGACCCUCUCGGUGCCGUCGCUAACGCAGUAAGUGUCCCGCCUGGGGAGUACGGCCGCAAGGCUG
rnacentral:rRNA from 1 species